UAAAGUAUGAUGUCAGCAAGCAAUUUCUUAACUAUCUAGAUUAUAUAGCUUAUCUGAAAGAUAUCAGUUAAGGACCCAUGGAAGUGUUGAAAGUUUUGAUCCUGUAUAAUAUCAGAAUAUUUAAUGAAUCACUAAGCUUUAUUUAUUUGAUACUUUGAGUGCUGAACUCCUUCCUACUAUUUUUGCUACCAUUGUCACAUCAUUGUAAACCGGUCCCUCAUUACUGAGUAAUAAAAUUGUAUCUAAUUUACUGAGUUUGCCCUUACAGUGUAUAUAUCCUUUGCUUCUGUUUUUCUAGAGUACAUUUUCUGUCCUGCAGAAAUACAU
rnacentral:lncRNA from 1 species